rnacentral:misc_RNA from 1 species
AAGUCGUAACAAGGUUUCCGUAGGUGAACCUGCGGAAGGAUCAUUCUUGUAUCAUUGUGUAUAUCAUUGUACACAAACUCUUGAUAUGAUAUCAUGCCUGUAUGAUAUUUUAUUUAAUUAUGUGAAACGUGCCAGUCUGUUGUUGCAUUGCGGCGUAGUGUGUGUAGCAACGUGUUUCUGUCAGCUCGCUGUCUCAUUGCGGGCACGCACUCUCGGGUGUUGCUUCGGUGAAGGAACAGCUUGGUGACAGCGUCGCAUUGCGCAGGCAUUUAAUGUCUGGAUUCCACGCAACAUCGCAAGCAAUUGCAGGCAACCGAUUGAUAUUUACUUUUUACUACAACAUUUACCUACUGUUGAUGUCAGAAUUAACUAUAAAAAUUAUGACAACUUUUAGCAACGGAUCUCUAGGCUCUC